ACGGGUGAGUAACACGUGGGCAAUCUGCCCUUCACUCUGGGACAAGCCCUGGAAACGGGGUCUAAUACCGGAUAACACUCUGUCCCGCAUGGGACGGGGUUAAAAGCUCCGGCGGUGAAGGAUGAGCCCGCGGCCUAUCAGCUUGUUGGUGGGGUAAUGGCCUACCAAGGCGACGACGGGUAGCCGGCCUGAGAGGGCGACCGGCCACACUGGGACUGAGACACGGCCCAGACUCCUACGGGAGGCAGCAGUGGGGAAUAUUGCACAAUGGGCGAAAGCCUGAUGCAGCGACGCCGCGUGAGGGAUGACGGCCUUCGGGUUGUAAACCUCUUUCAGCAGGGAAGAAGCGAAAGUGACGGUACCUGCAGAAGAAGCGCCGGCUAACUACGUGCCAGCAGCCGCGGUAAUACGUAGGGCGCAAGCGUUGUCCGGAAUUAUUGGGCGUAAAGAGCUCGUAGGCGGCUUGUCACGUCGGAUGUGAAAGCCCGGGGCUUAACCCCGGGUCUGCAUUCGAUACGGGCUAGCUAGAGUGUGGUAGGGGAGAUCGGAAUUCCUGGUGUAGCGGUGAAAUGCGCAGAUAUCAGGAGGAACACCGGUGGCGAAGGCGGAUCUCUGGGCCAUUACUGACGCUGAGGAGCGAAAGCGUGGGGAGCGAACAGGAUUAGAUACCCUGGUAGU
rnacentral:rRNA from 1 species